CUACAAUCGGCUGCUUACACAUGCAAGUCGAGGGGUAUAUUUCUUCGGAGAUAGAGACCGGCGCACGGGUGCGUAACGCGUAUGCAAUCUACCUUUUACAGAGGGAUAGCCCAGAGAAAUUUGGAUUAAUACCUCAUAGUAUAUAGCCCUGGCAUCAGGAUUAUAUUAAAGUCACAACGGUAAAAGAUGAGCAUGCGUCCCAUUAGCUAGUUGGUAAGGUAACGGCUUACCAAGGCUACGAUGGGUAGGGGUCCUGAGAGGGAGAUCCCCCACACUGGUACUGAGACACGGACCAGACUCCUACGGGAGGCAGCAGUGAGGAAUAUUGGACAAUGGGCGCAAGCCUGAUCCAGCCAUGCCGCGUGCAGGAUGACGGUCCUAUGGAUUGUAAACUGCUUUUAUACGAGAAGAAACACUCCGACGUGUCGGAGCUUGACGGUAUCGUAAGAAUAAGGAUCGGCUAACUCCGUGCCAGCAGCCGCGGUAAUACGGAGGAUCCAAGCGUUAUCCGGAAUCAUUGGGUUUAAAGGGUCCGUAGGCGGUUUAAUAAGUCAGUGGUGAAAGCCCAUCGCUCAACGGUGGAACGGCCAUUGAUACUGUUAGACUUGAAUUAUUAGGAAGUAACUAGGAUAUGUAGUGUAGCGGUGAAAUGCUUAGAGAUUACAUGGAAUACCAAUUGCGAAAGCAGGUUACUACUAAUUGAUUGACGCUGAUGGACGAAAGCGUGGGUAGCGAACAAGAUUAGAUACCCUGGUAGUCCACGCCGUAACGAUGGAUACUAGCUGUUGGAAGCAAUUUCAGUGGGGUGAACGAAAGUGAUAAGUAUCGCACCUGGGGGAGUACGUUCUCACGAAUGAAACUCAAAGGAGUUUGACGGGGGCGCGCACAAGCGGUGGAGCAUGUGGUUUAUUUCUAUGAUACACGAGGAACCUGACCAGAGCUUAAAUAUAAAUUGACCGUUGUGGAACAGGACUUUCACAAGACAAUAUACAAGUGCUGCAGGAGUUGUCGUGCAGCUCGUGCCGUCUGCGUGUCGGAGUGAAGUCCUAUAACAACACAAACCACUGCUGUUACUGCAGCGAUCAGUUCGGACUCUACAUACUGCAAUACAACUGUAGGCAGCUAGGGAUGACGUCGAGUGAUCAGGUCAUACCAGUGGCUUGCUACCUCCUGCAUGACCGUCGAACGAGCCCAUGCGACGUACCGAACGUAUAAUCAGUGCGAGAUCGAAAUCUCGAU
rnacentral:rRNA from 1 species